AAUCCCAAUCCUGGGGAAUUCUGAACCCAGGGAAUCCCGAUCCCAGGGAAAUCGGAUCCCAGGGAACCCCAAUCCUGGGGAAUCCCAAUCCUGGGAAAUUCUGAACCCAGGGAACCCCAAUCCUGGGGAAUCCCAAUCCUGGGGAAUCCCAAUCCCAGGGAAUCCCAAACCCAGGGAAUCCCAAACCCGGGGGAUUCUGAUCCCAGAGACCCCCAAUCCUGGGGAAUCCUGAACCCAGGGAAUCCCAAACUUGGGGAGUUCCAAUCUCAGAGAAUCCUGAACACAGGGAAUCCUGAACACAGGGAAUCCCGAUCCCAGAUCCCAAACCCAGAGAAUUCCAAACUUGGAGAAUCCCAAACCUGGGGAAUCCUAAACCCAGGGAGUCCCCAACACACAGAAUCCAAAUCCCAGGGAAUCCCAGUCCCAAGGAAUCCCCCAAACCCAGGGAAUCCCGAUCCCAGGAAAUCCAAAGCACACAGAAUCCCAAAUCCAGGGAAUCCCGAUCCCAGGGGAUCCCAAACCCAGGGAAUUCCAAUCCUGGGGAAUGCCGACCCCAAAGAAUCCCAAACCCAUGGAACCCUGAUCCCAGGGAAUUCCAAACUCAGAGAAUUCCAAACUCAGAGAAUCCCAAACCCAGGAAUCCCAAUCUCAGGGAAUCCUGAUCCAUCCCAACCCCCUGUGCCUUCUGUGCACCAGAUUUUCCAAUUUUCCAAGCACCCCAUCGCCCCUGAGCUCUAUGGAUCCUUCCUUUGGACCAUGAGUGGGGCAUUUGGGGUUGUUUUCCCUGUUUUGGUUCCUGCAGCCUCAGCCCCAGGGCUGGGGGUGGCACAGGGCUGGCACAGGGGUGGCACCGCUCCUUGUCCCCAUCAUCUUCCUGCAGAUGUUGUGGGUCUUUUCUUUCUGAUUUUACCAUUUUCCUUCUGAUUUGAUCAUUUUCUGUUUGUCCUGGGGCCAGGCCAGGCUCAGAAGAGGCAGGAGCAGCUGUGGGGCUGCAAUUCCCACAUGGAACCCACAGGGCUGGGCGCCAUCUGAGCCCGUGAGGUGACAGCUGGGUGACACCCUCGGGUCCCUCCCUGCCCUUCCCCACCCUCAUCCCACAGCAAACCAUCCCACAGGAGGUGCCAGGACAGCGCUCAGGCCUUGGUGUCACCCACCCACUGUCACAGCUCUGACACUGCCAUUCCAAUGAACCUGGGGCACAAUAAACCAACCCAAGCCCAGCA
rnacentral:lncRNA from 1 species